rnacentral:rRNA from 1 species
GAACGAACGCUGGCGGCGUACUUAACACAUGCAAGUCGGACGAGAAAGGAAGCCUCGGCUUCUGAGUAAAGUGGCGUACGGGUGCGUAACACGUAAGUAAUCUACCCUGGACUCUGGGAUAACUCCCCGAAAGGGGGGCUAAGACUGGAUAGAGACCUGAGGUGCAAGCCUUGGGAGGAAAACAAGCCUCUGCAUCAUGCUUGUGGUUCAGGAUGAGCUUGUGGCCCAUUAGCUAGUUGGCGGGGUAAUGGCUCACCAAGGCAACGAUGGGUAGCUGGUCUGAGAGGACGAUCAGCCACACUGGCACUGAGAUAC